rnacentral:tRNA from 1 species
GUUUUAAUAAUAUAAUUCAAAUACUGGUCUUGUAAUCGAGAAAUAAGAAUUCUCUUUUAUUACU